CUCGAAAUCUGGAAAGUUGGAAAACAACUUACUCUUCAGAGGGCCGGAUCGCGGCGGUUACGUCCGGAGGUGAGACGUCUCGGCCUCGUCCGCCUUUUCGUUAUCUUCCAGGAUAUGCCCCCCGGGUAUCCAGACAACAACCACCGUUUUAUCAAGACGCUUCGGUGCAUGGUAUUUCUCCAAAAGAGCACAAUGAGAGGGAUAGCAGUAACCAAGCUGGGAGAGUCGGUGGAGUCAAGGUAUAUUUACAGGACAUGCUCCAGUAAAAUACAACUUAAAAAAGGGGCCUAAUAGGAGAUGACUAAUCUCAACUGUUAAGGAGACCGAGACAACAUAGCAAAUCCUUUACAACUGGCUUGUAUACGGGAGUGAGAGCACAACGCAGCGCACAAACAAUAUACAACUGAUUGAUUUUCUGUUCAAACCGCAUCCAACUUGGCAAUAGGAGCUACUCCAGUUCAACCAUGACCUCAUUUGUAGGUUAUGCAAUCAGGUGGUUGAAACGACUUCCUAUACCAUCUUCGAAUGCGAAUCAACCGCUCAAUAGAGAAAUAACCUGGGAUACAAAAACAUCCCAGAAAAGGAAUUGCAGGAAAAACAGUCAAUGACGUUGUCCUAGUUAGAAGGAUCGAGUAGACUGCACUGAAGUAAGGCACUAGGAAAGUACAAUAACACAGAAGGCAGCAGUGCUUGGGGAACAAAAACCCCCUCUUCCUAUCCAUCAUCAUCAGCAGCAGAGUAAAUGCAAGUUUAAGGGCAAAAGGGGGAAAUCCCUAUUACACCAAAAGAAAGAAGAUACUUGGGGGACAUCGGUGGCCGCAACGGUUGGUUGAGAUACAAAAGUCAGUGUCACGAGCGGGAUUCGAACCCA